rnacentral:misc_RNA from 1 species
GAUGAAGAACGUAGCGAAAUGCGAUAAGUAAUGUGAAUUGCAGAAUUCAGUGAACCAUCGAAUCUUUGAACGCGCAUUGCGCCCGGCAGUAAUCUGCCGGGCAUGCCUGUCCGAGCGUCAUUUCUACCCUCGAGCGAGUCCAGCAUCUAGGUGCUGGGCCUCGCCCGGCGUUGGAGCACUACGGGAAGCCCUGUGCUGUCCCCCGUAGGCCCCGAAAUGAAGUGGCGGUCCUGCCGCGGCGCCCCCUGCGUAGUAUAACAGCUCGCUUCGGGACCCGGUGGAGGCCUGCCGUCAAACCUAUACUCUCUAAGUUUGACCUCGGAUCAGGUAGGGUUACCCGCUGAACUUAAGCAUAUCAAUAAGCGGAGGA